GACGAACGCUGGCGGCGUGGAUUAGGCAUGCAAGUCGGACGGUAGGGCUUUAUCGUAAGAUAGAGUUUGAGAGUGGCGGACGGGUGAGUAACGCGUGGGUAAUCUGCCCUUAAGUGGGGGAUAACAGUCGGAAACGACUGCUAAUACCGCAUAAGCUGGCGGGAACACAUGUUUCUGUCAGGAAAGGUGGCCUCUUAACAAUGCUACCGCUUAAGGAUGAGCCCGCGUCUGAUUAGCUAGUAGGUGGGGUAAUGGCCUACCUAGGCGACGAUCAGUAGCCGGCCUGAGAGGGUGUACGGCCACACUGGAACUGAGACACGGUCCAGACUCCUACGGGAGGCAGCAGUGGGGAAUAUUGCGCAAUGGGGGAAACCCUGACGCAGCGACGCCGCGUGAGCGAAGAAGGCCUCGGUUGUAAGACUCUGUUCUAGGACGAAGGACUGGCUGUGAACAAUGGUCAAGGGUAGACGGGUACCGUUACGGAGAAAGGACCCCGGCCGUAACCUAACCGUUGCCACGCAGCC
rnacentral:rRNA from 1 species